AUUUUCUGGAGCUUAAUGAUAUAUUACUUAUAUGAUUCCUUUUUAUCGUCACUCAUUUGUUUUAUUUUACUUUAAUACUACCAGACAUCCAACUGUGGUUAUAACCAUAUCUCUAAAUGUGCUCAUCUUGUUUGUUUUAUGGGUUUUAUCUACUUAUUGUUUACCUACAUUUGCUUUAAACUGGGAUUAUAUUGUUUAUCGAAAUUAAAAUAUUUCAUCAGGUGGCAGUCGUCAUAUUUUCUUUGAAAUGCAUUAGUUUGAUCUUCUGCCAAAAUUACAUGCAUGAGGUAUCUUUCUCCAGUGUUAGUAUUGUCUCUUUGGUGAUUUGCGGGGGCCUGAUGGGAGUCUCUGGCUUUCUAUUAUCGCAGUUUACUCUCCAAGUUUUACCGUCUCCUGAUAAGAUUUGUUUUCUCAAAAGUUUUAUUUCAAUAUGGUCACAACUAACUUGAUCUUUGCAUUUACUUUUCAUGUAACCUCAUCAAAUAUUGCCACCUCUUCUGAAGUUUCCUUGAUCUCGGCACCAUGUGAAAAAAAGAAUAUCUCACAGUUGAUAAUGGGUACAUUGUGAAUCUCGAUGUACAGUAAUAUUUGUAAACUGAUAUUGUUUCUGCAGUUGGUGACCUUUGAUUCAAAAGAUUUCUUUACCUAUGCAUGUGAAAGAAAAUGAGAAACUCUUUCCCAUUUUAGCACUUAGUUGAGUUCUUAUCCAUCUUUGGCUAAGUGCAUGCAGCAACGCAAGCUUGUUGCUGCAACAAGUAGCAAGCAAUGUUUUUUACUAAAUAACCGAAGGCGAAGGAAGAUGGAUACAUACCGGAGGAAGAUGAGAUCGGCAACGAGAGCUGACAGCCAACAGAUGAGAUUGGCGGUGAUGAGAGAGAACGACCAACAAGUGAGGUUGGUGGCAACGAGAGAGCACAACUAGGAGACAAGAUCGAUGGCGGCAGCGAACGACCAAGAGGAGAUUGAAGGCGAGAGAGAGAGAGAGAGGACCCGCGAUGAACGACCAAAUAGAGAAAGGGAAAGGGGAAAUAGAGAAAGGGAAGGGGGAAAUAGGUCGGCCAAGGAUGUGCACGACCUAGGUGUCCGCCUAGGUGGUUAGGCGUCGUUGUGGCCCGAUUAAUCGGGCCCGGCACCUAGGGGCGCCGAUCAGCCCUUAAUCGCCUAGGCCAGUGGCCUCCCAACGCCUAGGUGGCCACCUAGGCCGAAUUUUCAAACACUAGUUGUGAAUGUUGCAAACUGCUUUUUCAUCAAUGCUAUUGCCUAAUGAAAAAUAUUGUAUUUGAUUUUCCUAUCUUUAAGCUGAAGGAUAUAUGAAUUCUGCCAGAUUAGUAGACAAGGCCGUAUUAAAUGUCUACCUCUGCUAUUACUGCAAUGCCUCAGUAAAAUGGGUUUACCCUUCUGUGUUCUUAGCAUGCCACUUAAUUAAUGAAUCUAAAAAAUUCAAUGCAAAAUUACUAUUGAAUUUUGGCUUAAGUUCUGACAUUUAUUUGUUCUUACAUGCUCUAUUAAAAUCUAGUAUUUUCUGAUCAUUGUGUGAUAGGUUUCUUUUAUGAAAUUACCGAAUAUCAGACCCUCAUAUAGUUUAGGAUGGUUACAUUCAUACUUGUAUCCAACAUCGGGAUGCAAGGAACAUAGGGUGGCAUUUAUAUCUUAUGUACUUCCAUGUAGCCUUUUAUGUAAUAUUGCAGUCAUUGGGACCUUCAUGUUUUAGAGUUCUCAUUCAGACCCUAUAAUGUAAUGAUCUAAGAUGCACUGUUCCUAUGGGAUCUAAAAUCGUAUUUGCAACAUAUUAUGGGGAAAGAAAAAGCUUUUAGUCUUAUUGUUCUUUCACUUAGGGUACUCAAGGUUGCAAGCUAAUUUUGUUUCUUAAAUAAUUGUAUAUUUAUUUGAAAUAAAAUGGUGUUUACAAGUUAAAUUUCAUGGGGCCCCUUCUUUGUGUCAUAUACCGUGGCCUGGAAUUGUUUUCUCCGAGGUUAUGUUUUUCUAAACUACGAUAUGGUUAUCUUAUAGCGCUUUCCUGCUUUAGCAACAUCUUGCUAUGUUGGAAGCAUAGGAAGGUUGCCUGAUGUAUGACCAAUAGUGCAUG